rnacentral:rRNA from 1 species
CCUACGGGAGGCAGCAGUGGGGAAUAUUGGGCAAUGGAGGCAACUCUGACCCAGCAACGCCGCGUGAAUGAUGAAGGUCUUCGGAUUGUAAAGUUCUGUGAUGGGGGAUGAACACAAUGACGGUACCCCAAUAGCAAGCCACGGCUAACUACGUGCCAGCAGCCGCGGUAAUACGUAGGUGGCAAGCGUUAUCCGGAAUGACUGGGUGUAAAGGGAGCGUAGACGGCAGCGCAAGUCUGGAGUGAAAUGCCGGGGCCCAACCCCGGAACUGCUCUGGAAACUGUGAAGCUGGAGUGCAGGAGAGGUAAGCGGAAUUCCUGGUGUAGCGGUGAAAUGCGUAGAUAUCAGGAGGAACACCGGCGGCGAAGGCGGCUUACUGGACUGUAACUGACGUUGAGGCUCGAAGGCGUGGGGAGCAAACAGGAUUAGAUACCCCAGUAGUC